rnacentral:rRNA from 1 species
CGCAGCAGUCGCGAAAACUUCACAAUGGGGGCAACCCCGAUGAGGGAAUUCCUAGUGCUAGCACAUUUGUGUUAGCUUUUCUCUAGCGUAGAUAACUAGAGGAAUAAGGGCUGGGAAAGACGGGUGCCAGCCGCCGCGGUAAUACCUGCAGCCCAAGUGGUGGUCGAUUUUAUUGAGUCUAAAACGUUCGUAGCCGGUUCGAUAAAUCUUUGGGUAAAUCGGGGGGCUUAACCUUCCGUCUUCCGAGGAGACUGUCGAACUUGGGACCGGGAGAGGCUAGAGGUACUUCUGGGGUAGGGGUAAAAUCCUGUAAUCCUAGAAGGACCACCGGUGGCGAAGGCGUCUAGCUAGAACGGAUCCGACGGUGAGGGACGAAGCCCUGGGUCGCAAACGGGAUUAGAUACCCCGGUAGUCCAGGGUGUAAACGCUGCAGACUUGGUGUUGGAAGCCCUUUGGGGGCAUUCAGUGCCGGAGAGAAGUUGUUAAGUCUGCUACUUGGGGAGUACGUCCGCAAGGAUGAAACUUAAAGGAAUUGGCGGGGGAGCACCGCAACGGGAGGAGCGUGCGGUUUAAUUGGAUUCAACACCGUAAAACUCACCAGGGAAG